GAUCAGGUUAGGUUAGGAUUGGUUAGUUUAGGUUAGGAUAGACUGGUUUAGGUAAGAAUUGGAUAGUUUAGGAUAUAUUAGGAUUGGUUAUGUUAGGGUAGAUUUGGUUAGAUUGGUAGACCUAAUGGUCAGCCACUGGAGGAGGUUUUAUAAGUGGGAACUUUUCUGUAGUUUUAGCAAAUUACCAAAUAAAUGUUCAACUUUCUGUUGCAGGUUUCCUGAUAAAUCAAAGCAGAGAGACCUUUACCUGGAGUGGGUCAGGCUAUGUAGACGGACAGUGGACCCCAGUAAUACUGCUCUCGUAUGCAGUGCUCACUUUCGUCCAAGUAUGGUAAAUACUACCAUGCAUCAUGCACAGCUACGUGAGGGAGCAAUUCCAGAAUUGGUUGAUCUACCAAGCCACUUGCAGGUAUCUACAAGGACCAGGUCAACUGUCACAAGUACAAGUGCAGACUUACCAGUGCCCAUGCCUCAACCUGGGCCUUCUACGGAACAAAUGCAUACGGAGCACGCAUAUCCAUUACCAGCUGAAGUUACACCUGACAGUAGGAUUUCUGAGCUGGGAACCCAGGUGGAAUCAUUACGUAGAAAGCUCAAGAACACAAAGGCCAGAGAGAAGAGGGCAAAAGAAACGACCCAAUCAUUGCUGAAGGAGUUGGAAGAAAAAAAUCUGAUAAAUGCAGAGCUUGAGGUUCGCCUGGAAUCUUACAAAGGUUAGCAUUGUUGUAGUCUAAUGUUGCCUGC